rnacentral:rRNA from 1 species
UACGGAGGGUGCAAGCGUUGCUCGGAAUUAUUGGGCGUAAAGAGCUCGUAGGCGGUGUGUCACGUCGGCCGUGAAAACCUGGGGCUCAACUCCGGGCCUGCAGCCGAUACGGGCUGACUAGAAUUCGGUAGGGGAGACUGGAAUUCCUGGUGUAGCGGUGAAAUGCGCAGAUAUCAGGAGGAACACCGGUGGCGAAGGCGGGUCUCUGGGCCGAUAUUGACGCUGAGGAGCGAAAGCGUGGGGAGCAAACAGG